UACGAGUGCCCCAAGCGUUAUCCGGAAUCAUUGGGCGUAAAGGGUGUGUAGGCGGUCGUGUUAGUCUUCUGUCAAAUUCUUCGGCUUAACCGGGGGUCCGCAGGGGAAACGGCACGACUCGAGGAUGCGAGAGGUGAAUGGAACUCAUGGAGUAGGGGUGAAAUCCGUUGAUAUCAUGGGGAACACCAAAUGCGAAGGCAAUUCACUGGCGCACUCCUGACGCUGAGACGCGAAAGCGUAGGUAGCGAAUGGG
rnacentral:rRNA from 1 species